AAAAGGCGGAAGUGAAUGUUCUUGUCUUCAUCAUGGCUCCUCCCGUAUCUGUCUCUCCGCUCAUUAAGACGGCCCGGUGGUCUGCCCUGUUGCUUGGCGUCUUGUAUGGCAAACAGAGGUUUGAAUACCUGAAGCCCAUCGCAGAGGAGGAGCGCAAGGUGGAGGAGGCUGAAAAGGCGGCCCGAGAGGAACAGGAGCGCAUUGCCAAACAACUGGCCGAAGCUAAUUCAGACACCAUCCUCAAGUGAGCCAUCACUUCCUGUCUGUUGUGUUCCAAAAUGAAUAAAAGCUGAUUAUUUUUCAUGUGA